UCAUGAGAAAAUUAGCGAGCACAGCAAAUGCGCAGGAGUCAGAGAUGUUACGAAAGCCACAGGCGUGGGCAAAGACAUGGUGUCUCAUGACACACCAGCCAGCCCUGCCAUGCAGCACACAAGUACAGAAGACCUUUACGUGCUCUCUUGCACACAGAACUGGCUCUUCUUCAUCAUUCAAUCCCUUGUUUCCUUCUCCUUGCUUCUUUGCAACCCUGCUUUACCAGCACUGGCCUAACUCCCCACCCCUCAGGUCAUCCCUUCUAUGGCAUUUCAGAGUGGCUGGGCAGAGACCUGACUUUGGGGCUGUGCCGCUGUGCCACUGUGCUGUCCUCAGGUCCCCUUGCAGGACCUGAGUUUCUCCUGAAAGAUGGAGAAAGUACAUUUAGUUUUCACGUGUCCUGGUUUCAGCUGGGAUAGAGUUAAUUUUCUUUGUAGUAGCUAGCAUGGGGUUAUGUUUUGGAUUUUUGCUGGAAACAGUUGUGAUAAUGUGGACAUGUUUUAGUUGUUGCUAAGUAGCACUUACACUGGUCAAGGACUUUUUCAGCUCCCCGUGCUCUGCCGGGUGCACAAGAAGCUGGGAGAGGACACAGCUGGGAGAGCCAACCCAAACUGACCAAAGGGAUAUUCCACACCAUAUGACAUCAUGCUCAGCAUAUAAAGCUGGGGAAGAGGAAGGAAGAGGGGGACGUUUGGAGUUAUAGCGUUUGUCUUCCCAAGUAACCGUUAGGUGUGAUGGAGCCCUGCUUUCCUGGAGAUGGCUGAACACUUGCCUGCUGAUGGCAAGUAGUGAGUGAAUUCCUUGUUUUGCUUUGCUUCCAUGCACAUCUUUUGCUUUACCUGUUAAACUGUCUUUACCUCAGCCCAGGAGUUUCCUCUCUUUUACUUUUCCAAUUCUCUCCCCCAUCCCACCAGGGGGGGAGUGAGCAAGCAGCUGCGUGGUGCUUGGUUGCUGGCUGGGGCUAAACCAUGACAACAUGGCAGCAGCAUAGGCAUACAGGCAGUUCUUUGACCCAAGCUCUGAAUUCUUUUUCCUCCUAAUAGUUAAAAAACUUACUCUUGGCCUUACUGGAAUUUUCUUAGUUUUCUUUCUUUUUUCUUAUUUUAUUUCUUUUCUUUUCCUUUCUUUCAUUUUUCUUUUUAUUUUUCUUUUCCCAUAUUGUUCUUUAUUUUUUCCCACAGAAAUUAUUGCAUUUUGUCUUCCUGCCAACUCAUACAUGUAUGGAUUGUCAGAGAAGCUUUUAUUUUUUGUCCUGACUCAAAUCAGGGAACAGAAAUGCUGCCCUGUGAUUUGCCCUGCCCUGUCAAAACAAGUCCAUUUGCUUCUGGCAGUGAGCCCCCGUAGUUACAGUAUCUGACCUAAAGUCUGAUGAAAGUGAAUGUCUUUGAGGGAAUUGGGAACAUCCCACAAGCAAAAGUAACAUUAAAUCCUGUGAGCUGCAGAGUGCCACUCAGAGGUAUGUUAAUGGCUAAGUUUAGAGUCUGAAUCCAGUGUAAAAUGGCUUUUGGGCUUCAACAAAAGCAGAAGCAGGGAAGAGCCUGCCGCUGCCUGGGUUUCUGCCUCUAUAUGGAGACAAACUGUUUUUUAAAAGUGCUUUUUGGUAGUAAUCUUGUGGUUUCACUGAGGCAGUUGAAGUGACUUCUUACCUACCCCCCAGUGGCACAGAACCCCAGUACCAUACUCCUGAGGACUGGGUUAAUACCUGACUCCCCUCUUCAUAGACAGGCGGCUAAUGCCAAAUGUUCAGUGAGAAAGGGCAGGGCUUCCCAAAACUGCACACAAACCUGAUCUGUAAAGUAAAGUAAAAAUGGUAUAAAGAAGUCUCAUGUUUGGAAGGGUUCAGGGAUGAGCGUUGUAGUGGGAGCCAGCAGGUAUUCGUGUUUUGGCCCUCCUGGAAAUCAGCUGCGUAUGCUUUAAAUCUGCCAGUGAACCUGAAGGAUAGAUAAUUACAAGGUAGUUUCUAUGUAGAAACCAGGUUUCCUGAAAAAUUCUCCCUGAUUUGCAUGAGCUGUGAAAGCCCUUUUCUGGUCUUGAGAAGAUGAGAUGUAAGACUUCCAUCUAGCGGCUCUUUUGUUUGAUUUAAUUCUCCUAAUAAUCAACAGCUGGAUGCAAACAGGCAGCGUUAGUAAGACAUGUUUGUAGCCACUUUGCUGACACACAUACUAAAAUGCAUGAUGCAGCAGUUUAGGAAACACCCUUCUUUGUGUCCCUUGGAAAUGAGACAGCUCGUAAUGCUGCAAGCACUUGGACAUUGCCUCCUCUGCUUGUAAAGCAGAAGGCAAUGCUGUCCUGCCUCGCAGGGCUUUUGGGAGGCUUAAUUCACUGAUGCUUAUGUGGCGUUUAAACAGCCAAGAUGGGAAGUGUUAUCAACACGCAAAUAUUGUUUCUAAUAAUAGCUUCUUUAAGGCACGUAUUGUCUUUCAACACUCACAUCUGUGAUGCACAUACACCUUUGAACACGAUUUUUUUUUCAGUUCUUGAGCUAACACUGCAUAUUUGUGGUAUAAAACAUCUUAAGUAGAAAGCAGAAAAAUUUUUCUUUGAUUUCACUGUGAUUUUACAGACAUGAAAACACAAUUUUAAUUUUUAGCAAAAAAGAAUCUUGUAAAAAUCUGCAUCAACGUACUGGCCAGUUUACUGGGUUAUGACUGGCAACAAGGAAAACCUGGUGCUUCAAGGGAGUUUGUAGACUCCAGCCUUGAUAAAGGGUGACGUGGUACAGACACUUGUGGGGAGGACUUAUCCCUCGUGGCUGGCAGCUUUUGAUAUUUAACAGCGAUCUGACCAAGUCUGGAAUUGCAAGAUUUACUAUGCCUUUCAAAUUCUCAGCUAUGCUUUAUCAGUAGCUUUGUAUACUUUCGCUAUUCUUACAAAUGCCUAAUCCCUUUGUGAAUGCUGCUGACUUUGCGGCCUCAGGUGUGGCCUGUGAUAAUGAAUCUCACAGUUUAAUUAUUCAUGUAAUGGAAAAUUAUCUGGCUUUUAAGUUCACUGCAGUUAAAGCAAAUGUUGCCUCCGUGGAGAAAGAUCAGAAGACGCUGGUCUAGUCCCUCCUUCUGCACACAGAAAGAAAUGGUUGAUAUCAGACCAUUGCCUCCCACAUGUUGUAAUUCACAGCUAAAUCAGGCUAAAAUCAUGCAACCCCGUGCCUGCUGCUCAGAUGCCAAGCAGUAAACUCGUCAUGCUUUCUGCGUUGAACCCCUUCCCCCUGAAGGAGGAAAACCCAAAGGCAGCAAGAGUGGCUUUGUUGCAUUGGAAAGGUGCUGCCCUGCUCCAUGGGAAGGAAUUGCCAUUACAAACAACCUCCUGUUCUGCAGAAGAGGCACAUCUGAUUAGAGAUAGAAUUUUCCACAAGAAGACCAGACUGAAGCCUGGAGAAAAGGAGUAUGCCUGGGGUAAAAUGAGAUGAAUUUGUAUUUCUGUCACAUGAAUUCCUCUCCGCAAAGAUUUCUCAUUUCCCUCAUUUCCUGCAAAAAUCCUCCCAUUUCGUGCCUGUCCCAAUUAGUGUGUGUCCACCUGCUCUGCUAAAAACCAGCUGCCCGGGCAGAUAAUUAAUGCUGUGAGCUGGAUAGUGGCUCCCCAUCAUUCAGCUCCUGUCGGUGAUCCCCUGCUGCAGUAAUAGCUCUGACAAUUGCAAUGAAACACGAAUGUUUUUUCCCCUGAGGGACCCUCCACUCGUACCCUCCGAGUCACGCAUUUCCACAUUUUUUUCCCCCUAACUCUGUGUUUGGGAGAGAUGCUGGCACCCAGUUGUUAUUGCUGGGAGGACAAGUACCCAAAAUGUGGGAUGCCGGAGCACAUUCCAGGGAGGGCAAGAGGAUGGGACCUCCGGUCCACUGGGGUCUUUCCUACCCUGCUGCAGAGAUGGGUCCAUCACAUUUCUGAUUUUGGGACCAGGAGAAUCUGCGACUCCUACAUGGCAGUAUCCUUGUCUUCUCACUAGCAGGGCAGGAGGAAGGGGGUCCUGCCUAGGCCUCUCCCUCAUCCCACCCCCCACCCCCACCCCCCACCCCCAAUUGUGUAUCUUUCUUUUGCUUCUUUUUGUUCAAAAUCUGUUCCUAUCAUGGGUGUUUGGGUUAAACCAGGUGGCUGCUCAGGCAGCUUUCUGCCCCAAAACUUUCACAGCUGCUUCAUACAAAGGGGACCAAGGGGUUUACGGCUGCCAAGCGUCCCUCCUGGCUGAACGCACAGGGCUGGCCAAGAAUCAAAAUGAAUCCUCAGAUUUUGUAGGAGGCCGAAAAAAAGAUAUGUCACAUUAAAUCUAAAUAUAUUUACAAAAAUUACAUCUAGAAAUAUAUCUGCUGGGUAUCUCUCAUUUCUGUUAGAGCUGAGUCCUGGACACCUUUUACUUUUCCCACUGGGACGUGUCACAGCAGGAAAGUACGUGUGGUUGCAGCCAUUUCUGCGGCAACAGAUUUUGAUGUUGGUUUAAUAAGUGUUACACUUUUGGUGUUGAUGCUGGCAUACUUUUGCCAGUUAGUCCCAGGAUGAAUGAGUUAAUCGGUGUUUGAGCUGGAUGAGGGCCUACUUUCAUUUUUGGUUAGAUGCUUAAUAUAAAAGAGGCGAAGAAACCUAUUAGUCAGAAUUGUACAUAACAUCUCAGAUUAUAUCUGAGAAAGUCAAAACCCAUUAAGUGAUGUCCUUUCUAUUGAUUUAAUGAAAGUAAUUCAGAAAACUUUUGUAUUCUAUAAUGUGUUUGAAUUGUUAAAUAGAUAUGGAUGAUGCUAAUCAUCGUCUCAUUUUCUGUGAUGCUUGCAAAUGGUAUUAUUACAUAGCUUUAUUUUUCUUGAUUUUGUAUAGGAAAACCCCAAUAUUCAAGCUAGAUUUCAUUAUGAGCUGCUCUUACUUACUUAUAAGAAAGGGAGGUAGAGGCAAGGUGGCAGGGUGACAAUAUAAGGAAAGCUUAAAAGGAAAGCAAUUUGAAUGAAAAAUUCAUGAGAAGUUUCAUCUGCACUACAACAUUGGGGUUUCAUAUAAAGGAAAAUCAAACCGUCCUUCCUAAAGUAGUCAUGGUCCUACUUUUUUGGUCUUAACCAUAAGCCCCUGUAGGUUUUACAGGUGAGGUGUACAACUGCAAAAUGGGACACUUGUCUGGAAAACACAGGAUGGUGGCUGCAAAGCAUUAACCCCCCAUCUCAUGUCAAAGUCCCCAUCUACCUCAGCGAGAUGGUAGGUUUUCACAAGCACCCCAGAUUCAGAGCACCUGUUGCCUUCAGCUGCCAGUCCCUUCAGGAAGCUUUAUAGGCUUAGCAGCAGCAGUGUCAUUUACCAAUAUAAAAAGAUAACAACUUUAAAAGUCAGUGCUUAACCGGGUGUUUCUGCUGACGUCAUCUUUGUACAACAGUUUAUGCUGCAACAUUCAGGGUUCAGACAAUGUUUGUAGUGUUCUGGGUGAAGACCUGCCCUAAAAAUGCAGUGCACUGUAGAAAUAGACCCUCUUUCCUAUGCCAGAAUAAAACUCUGGCCUGCCCAAGGUAAAACACACAGUUGUCCAGGGGAACCUUAAAGUUGUCUUUCAGGCUUUCCAAAGACCUGCUGACAGCCUUUUCUGCACCUGCAUAAAUGCUGCCAGGAAGAGAUUUGCAAGAUGCUGGGCUCCAGCUCUUCAGGGUCCCAUCUGCUCCCGCUGGCUGGGAGUCGAGAAGCUGGGACUCGCAAGGCACACCAAGACCUCAGGAGACAGAGCCCUGUGUGUGUUGCAAGCAGGACACCAGCCUGCAAAGUCUUACUGGUCAGCAAAAGGAACUGUUUCUUGUCCAUGAGGUCACAGCAAACACCAUUUCGCACCCCCACAAUAAACACUUUCCUGGAGAACCCGCAGCCUGUCCCAUACGGAGGUGAUGAGAGUAAGGGAAGGUGGGGUGGCGACAAAGGGAAGGAAAGGAUUCACUCAUUUAUAGCCAUGUAAUUAUUAUUUUUAAAUAAAUACAGCUUUUGAAAAUGUGAUUGAGCAAACAUAGGAAUAAAGUAAAAAUAUGAAUUGCUAAUGAAAAUAAAAAAAGCACAUGCUUGUAAUGAUA